GGGUCCACCAUUUUGCCGGCCAUGAGCGCCACGUGGAUGCUGGCGUCCAUCACGAAGUAAAGGAAAGGAUUUUCGGAGCGCGUCAAUGUCACAAGGAUUUUCCGGCGGAGGCGCCGGCGCGUGACGGCGCGUUGCGAUCCCGGUCUUGCUACGACCCUGCGACACGCGUGGUCUGCAUACGAUGUUGCUCAUAUUUAACUUAACCAAUCAGCUUGGAUAGCUCAAAAUACCUACAGAUUAUGUAAUAUAUCAAACAUACAUGACUUUGACUUGAGCCAUCUCAAGUCAAAGUAAUAAAAACUGGUAAGUACCUAAUUUAACCAUCAUUUUGUGUACAAAACUUAGUGAGUAAGCAUAGAACUUCCACCAAACUUACUUGCCUAAUUGCACGUUUCCAUCUCCUAUCUACUUUACUGCACCGGGUGUGUGUGUGGGGGG